rnacentral:rRNA from 1 species
GAUGAACGCUGGCGGCGUGCCUAAUACAUGCAAGUCGAGCGAACAGACGAGGAGCUUGCUCCUCUGACGUUAGCGGCGGACGGGUGAGUAACACGUGGAUAACCUACCUAUAAGACUGGGAUAACUUCGGGAAACCGGAGCUAAUACCGGAUAAUAUAUUGAACCGCAUGGUUCAAUAGUGAAAGACGGUUUUGCUGUCACUUAUAGAUGGAUCCGCGCCGCAUUAGCUAGUUGGUAAGGUAACGGCUUACCAAGGCAACGAUGCGUAGCCGACCUGAGAGGGUGAUCGGCCACACUGGAACUGAGACACGGUCCAGACUCCUACGGGAGGCAGCAGUAGGGAAUCUUCCGCAAUGGGCGAAAGCCUGACGGAGCAACGCCGCGUGAGUGAUGAAGGUCUUCGGAUCGUAAAACUCUGUUAUUAGGGAAGAAAAAAUGUGUAAGUAACUAUGCACGUCUUGACGGUACCUAAUCAGAAAGCCACGGCUAACUACGUG